AUGCUAUGGUUAGAUUUUAUCUUAAUUCUUAUUUAUGAUUCUUUUUGCAUUAGUUUAAUAAUUUUGUGUAGUUUCUGUAGAUCUAAAAGGUUUUCAUGUUUGAAUUUUUUUUAA
rnacentral:rRNA from 1 species